rnacentral:rRNA from 1 species
AUUGAACGCUAGCGGGAUGCCUUACACAUGCAAGUCGAACGGAGUGGCGAACGGGUGCGUAAUGUAUCGGAACGUGCCCAGUAGCGGGGGAUAACUACGCGAAAGCGUAGCUAAUACCGCAUACUAUUGGAGCAGCCGAUAUCGGAUUAGCUAGUUGGUGGGGUACCGGCUCACCAAGGCGACGAUCCGUAGCUGGUUUGAGAGGACGACAAGCAACACGAGGACUGAUACACGGCCACGACUCCUACGCGAGGCAGCAGUGGGGAAUUAUGGACAAUGGGGGAAACCAUGAUCAAGACAUCCCGCGUGGGGGAUGAAGGCCUUCGGGUUGUAAAGCACUUUUGGCAGGAAAGCGGUACCUGCAGAAUAAGCACCGGCUAACUACGUGCCAGCAGCCGCGGUAAUAC